UGAAAAAAAAAUAUAACUAUUCUUUCAAAGCAUUGGCUCUAUAAUUAUUCAUUUGAUAUUCAAGAAAGAGCUCAAUUACAAUUUAAAUCGAUCUAUAUCUUAUUACAAAAUAAAUUUAUUACAUUAAAGCAAUAUAUUGACAAGAAUUUAGUUAAAAACUUCAUAUAUGAAUCAAAAUUUCCAACAUGAGCUCCUCUCUUAUUUAUAAAGAAAAAAGAUGGAUCUCUAUGGUGUCAUAAUAUGUGAAGUCUUGCUUGAGAAUGCUCCGGGCACCAAGCUAUGAAAGGAAGAAUAGAAAUUGCAAUAACAAAAUCCUCAUACUAAUAGAAUACUAAAAAUUCUCUAAUUAGAUGAUAAUAAUGCUAAGCAAGCUUAAUCAAAUUCAAAAAAACCUCAAAGAAAUUUCAAACAAACAAUAAGAAUUCUUAAAGAAAUAUUAGAAGGAUCACAAAUAUCACUCAAAUACAUCUCAAUUCAAUCUUAAUUUAAUACUAGUUAAAAUCCUAUUGAACUUCAUUCAAACUUUAGGCCAAAACUAAUUAAAUCUUAAAUCCUAAUAAAAUCCUAAACCCUAAAUCAAAUCCUAAACAAACCUUAAACCAAACCCCAAUUAAAUCCUAAAUCAAACCCUAACCAAAUCCUAAUCUAAAUCUUAAAUCCUAAAUCAAAUCCUAAUCAAAUCCUAAACCCAAAUCCUAAAAAAACUUAAACCAAACCCUAAAUCCUAUUCAAACCCUAACCAAAU
rnacentral:lncRNA from 1 species